rnacentral:rRNA from 1 species
AUUGAACGCUGGCGGCAUGCUUUACACAUGCAAGUCGAACGGUAACAGGCCUUCGGGUGCUGACGAGUGGCGUACGGGUGAGUAAUGCAUCGGAACGUGCCCAGAGGUGGGGGAUAACGCAGCGAAAGCUGUGCUAAUACCGCAUGUGAUCUGAGGAUGAAAGCGGGGGACCAGGCAGCAAUGUUUGGCCUCGCGCCUUUGGAGCGGCCGAUGUCAGAUUAGGUAGUUGGUGGGGUAAAGGCCUACCAAGCCGACGAUCUGUAGCUGGUCUGAGAGGACGACCAGCCACACUGGGACUGAGACACGGCCCAGACUCCUACGGGAGGCAGCAGUGGGGAAUUUUGGACAAUGGGGGCAAGCCUGAUCCAGCGAUGCCGCGUGCGGGAAGAAGGCCUUCGGGUUGUAAACCGCUUUUGGACGGAACGAAAAGGCUCUGGCUAAUACCUGGGGCUGAUGACGGUACCGGAAGAAUAAGCACCGGCUAACUACGUG